UACGGAGGAUCCAAGCGUUAUCCGGAAUCAUUGGGUUUAAAGGGUCCGUAGGCGGUUUAAUAAGUCAGUGGUGAAAGCCCAUCGCUCAACGGUGGAACGGCCAUUGAUACUGUUAAACUUGAAUUAUUAGGAAGUAACUAGAAUAUGUAGUGUAGCGGUGAAAAUGCUUAGAGAUUACAUGGAAUACCAAUUGCGAAGGCAGGUUACUACUAAUGGAUUGACGCUGAUGGACGAAAAGCGUGGGUAGCGAACAGG
rnacentral:rRNA from 1 species